rnacentral:rRNA from 1 species
GACGAACGCUGGCGGCGUGCCUAAUACAUGCAAGUGGAACGCUGAAGGAGGAGCUUGCUUCUCGGGAUGAGUUGCGAACGGGUGAGUAACGCGUAGGUAACCUGCCUGGUAGCGGGGGAUAACUAUUGGAAACGAUAGCUAAUACCGCAUAAUAGUAGAUGUUGCAUGACAUUUGCUUAAAAGGUGCAAUUGCUUCACUACCAGAUGGACCUGCGUUGUAUUAGCUAGUUGGUGGGGUAACGGCUCACCAAGGCGACGAUACAUAGCCGACCUGAGAGGGUGAUCGGCCACACUGGGACUGAGACACGGCCCAGACUCCUACGGGAGGCAGCAGUAGGGAAUCUUCGGCAAUGGACGGAAGUCUGACCGAGCAACGCCGCGUGAGUGAAGAAGGUUUUCGGAUCGCAAAGCUCUGUUGUAAGAGAAGAACGAGUGUGAGAGUGGAAAGUUCACACUGUGACGGUAUCUUACCAGAAAGGGACGGCUAACUACGUG